rnacentral:tRNA from 1 species
GACUGCGUAGCUCAGUAGGUAGUAGCACGACACUUUUAAUGUCGGGGUCGUGGGUUCGAGUCCCACCGCAGUCA